GAUGAACGCUGGCGGCGUGCCUAAUACAUGCAAGUCGAGCGAACGGACGAGAAGCUUGCUUCUCUGAUGUUAGCGGCGGACGGGUGAGUAACACGUGGAUAACCUACCUAUAAGACUGGGAUAACUUCGGGAAACCGUAGCUAAUACCGGAUAAUAUUUUGAACCGCAUGGUUCAAAAGUGAAAGACGGUCUUGCUGUCACUUAUAGAUGGAUCCCCGCUGCAUUAGCUAGUUGGUAAGGUAACGGCUUACCAAGGCAACGAUGCAUAGCCGACCUGAGAGGGUGAUCGGCCACACUGGAACUGAGACACGGUCCAGACUCCUACGGGAGGCAGCAGUAGGGAAUCUUCCGCAAUGGGCGAAAGCCUGACGGAGCAACGCCGCGUGAGUGAUGAAGGUCUUCGGAUCGUAAAACUCUGUUAUUAGGGAAGAACAUAUGUGUAAGUAACUGUGCACAUCUUGACGGUACCUAAUCAGAAAGCCACGGCUAACUACGUG
rnacentral:rRNA from 1 species